rnacentral:rRNA from 1 species
AUUGAACGCUGGCGGCAUGCCUUACACAUGCAAGUCGAACGGUAACGCGGGGGCAACCCUGGCGACGAGUGGCGAACGGGUGAGUAAUACAUCGGAACGUACCCAGUAGUGGGGGAGUAGCUCGGCGAAAGCCGGAUUAAUACCGCAUACGACCUAUGGGUGAAAGCGGGGGAGUCGCAAGACCUCGCGCUAUUGGAGCGGCCGAUGUCGGAUUAGCUAGUUGGUGAGGUAAAGGCNCACCAAGGCUACGAUCCGUAGCUGGUCUGAGAGGACGACCAGCCACACUGGGACUGAGACACGGCCCAGACUCCUACGGGAGGCAGCAGUGGGGAAUUUUGGACAAUGGGCGAAAGCCUGAUCCAGCCAUGCCGCGUGUGUGAAGAAGGCCU